CGGAUUUGAACAUCUUCAUAUACCUCUUACAUAUGAGAUUUUCCCUCAUUUUUCAUCCGAGUAGUCAGUUGUUGAUUUUGGGGCUUUAAUGUAUGAUCAGUGAGGUUUUUUGGUUUUUUUUUUCAGCUGCAAUUACUGUAUAAUAGUACUAAGCCUAUUUAGAAUUUUCAUUUAAGUAUUUCUGUAAUAGAAUUUUGUUAUUAUCUUCGUACGGAAAGCGUUAAAUAUAGUUUUAUAAAUUAUAUUGUUAUUAUGCUUCUUUCAACAAUGUAAUUUUUUUUUUGUUUCAGGAAAAAAAUUGUGGACUAUAUGGAUGACAUUAUUUUGGUGAAUUUCGAUAAUGAGAAUGUUAUGGAUAAUACGAACAUGCUGGGUGAUGAUAUGUUAGUCGAAAAUGGUGCAAUUGUGCCUGAGGUGCAUAUGAAAUUUAAGGAUGAAAAUGAAAUUUCGAGUUUUACAAAAUAUGAGCACACAACAUUGGUUUCCCUGUUAGAAAAAGAAAUUCGAAAAAGGUAUUGAGAUAUAUUACAUUUAUUUGUAAUCGUGAAGAGAAAAGAAUAAAAAAUAUGAGUGGUUUUUUGAAGUUGCAGCAAGAUUCAGAGUAGAUGUAAAGUCAAGAUAACUGGAUGUUUAGAUAUUUGCGGUAUAUGGAGAAUCAACACAGUACACCUUAACCACAAUCAUAAAACAAGCCCUUCGAAGUCCAGGUUAUAUAGAUGUAACUGAGAAUUGAGUGGACGUGUGAAAUGACGACUUGAAGUAAAUGACAGCAGAAAUUUCAUUGCACAAAAGUUAUAUCUCUACAGUUGUUGAAGCGGGUAGAUAUGAGAAUAUGACAUGUAUAGAAAAGGAUUGUCGAAACUAUGUUGAAAAAGUUAGACGUUUAAGACUUGGAGAAGGAGACGCAGCAGUGAUACAAUCAUACUUUUCUAAAAUGCAAGAACGAUGCUCGAGCUUUUACUUUACUAUAGAUUUAAAUGAAGAGUUGCGGUUAAAAAUGUGUUUUGGGCAGAUAAUAGGAGUAGGCAAGCAUAUAAUGAGUUUAAUGAUGUUGUCACCUUCGACAUCACAUACCUCACUAAUAAAUAUGACAUGCCAUUUGCCCCUUUUAUUAGAGUGAAUAAUGAUGGACAAUUGACACUACUUGGAUGUGGUCUGGUAUCGAACGAGGAUACAGAUACGUUUGUGUGACUAUUUUGGAUAUGGAUGCAAUGCAUGCAUGGAUAAGCUCCCCAUGUGAUAAUGAUAGAUCGUAUUCCCCAAUACAAAGCAUAGAUAGUGUCUGUGACACAUAUUGAAGAAGUUUCCAGAAAAGUUUGGAUAUUACGUGGAUAAAGGGUUUAAUGUUUGCUACAUUCAUAGUUUGGUCUAUGAUUGUCAAUUUAUAGAAAAAUUCGAAAACGGAUGGAGAGUGAUCAUCGAAACAUAUAAUUUGUAUGAUAAUUACUGGUUGACGGGUGUAUAUGAGAAUGGGGAAUGUUGGGUACCUUGCUAUUGGAAAACCACAAUUUGGGCAGGGAUAUCAAUAACUCAAUACAGUGAGAGUGUGAAUGCAUUAUUUGAAGGUCAUGUGCAUUUGAAGAUGAUGUUGAAGCAAUUUGUUGAACAAUAUGAACGAGCAUUGAGAAAUAAGGUUGAGAAGAGUUCCAAGCAAAUUUCAAGUCUUACUCGCAAAUGGUACCGUGUGCAAUGAGGUAUGAAAUGGAAAAAGUAAUUUCAGGUAGUUUAUACAAUUUCGAAAUUCAGGGAAAUUUAAGAGGAGUUCAUAUGUAAGCUUUAUUACGAUCUCAUAUCUGCCUCCGAGGGAUGUUCGAGAAAAACUUACGAGGCGCAAGAGGACAUAAUACAUGAACGAGCGUUUUAAGAAAAAACGUUUUUAGUCUCAUUUCAAAGAGAAAAAUAUGAAAUUACCUGCAGUUGUCACUUUUUCAAGUUUCAAGGGAUUAUUUGUCGACGUGUGAUCACAGUAUUGAUCCGUAAUGAUGUGAAAUCAAUACCGAAUAUAUACAUAUUACGAAGAUGGUGACGAGAUGUGAGUAGAAUCCACACGAGGGUCGCAAUAAACUGUGAUAGUUUGGUUAGUACUCAUGGACAGUUGAAGUACGAUAAAAUGUGUCAACAUUUUGUAACACUGGCAAACAUGACUGCGUAUAAAGUCAAAUCUGAUUCUAUAAUUGAUUGGAUCGACACUCAGUGUAAACAAAUGACGAAGUCAAAGUCUGUUUGUGGUAGUAAUGUCAUGUCCUCGAAUAACAAUCAGAUAGCCUCAGAAAGUGGAGCAUCACAAGAUACUGGAAGUGGUAGCAUAUAGGAUCCAAUAUGUGUGAAGAGAAAAUGUGCGCCUAGGAAACUUCGCAAGAAAAGCCUAUUGAAAUCAAGUUUGAACAUAGUAAAGUAAUUCCCAAUUUUUUGUAUCCAAAGGUCGUAAAGUCCUUAUACACAUAAUGUUUAAUAACAUUUUGAUGUUUUAUAGGCAACUUUGAGUUCAACCAAAGGGAAGAGACCUAAGGUUCGCACAAGUAAUAUGAGAGAUGUUGUAACUGUCAUUCGGUUACCACAACAAGCACAUAUGCUAAUACUAUUAUCAUAUCCACUGCUCCUUAUGGUUCAUAGAUGAUUUACUUUCAUCGAAAUUAUAUGAUUUACUGAUAAUGUUAUUUCGUGUAGGGUGGCAACCAAAAUGUUCAAUUCACACAACAUCAACAAUCCAUAUGUAUCGUCUCUCCAUCUUCAGCAAGUGUUAUAUUCAAUAGUCAAGGUAAAGCAACUACAAGAAGAAAAAUGUUUGUCAUUAUUUUUCAACGUUUUUGGGAUUAGAUUAAAAUGGGACUGUAUUUGAGUUUCCAUUGGUUUGGGUGGACAACAUUUGCAUGAAGCUGCUGGCAGUGAAACACAACAGUUAGAAAUGCAUGGUGGUCGAAGAUUUGCAUAAUUUUUCCCAAGUCUAGAACAGAAUGGAAGUCCCAAGACUAAUUAGUCUUAAUUUAGGAUGGAAGUUCGAACAAUGAAGAGUACAGUUCUAAUGCUUCGAGUAGCAUUUUUAGCUAAUGUUGGGUGUGAUUUUGCCUCUCAAUUAGUUGGGUAUGAUUUUUCUUCUACUGUUUGAUGGCUAAAGAAAUCUAGUUUAAGACCAAUGUUGUUAGAGGAUUUUGUUUAGUAUCUUGUUGUGGCUGCACCAAGAAACCAAGUUUUAUUCUUAAUAAAGUUGGAGUUGGCAGCAUAAAUUAUAUAAACAAAGUUUUAUCUUAAUAAAGUUGGAGUUGGCAACAUAAAUUAUUUGUAUCUAUUUCAUUUGUUGUGAGUACCCUUUGAAAAUGCUCAUAGUAUAUCUCUAAAAGUAAGUUAUAUUAAGAGACCCUGAACACUUUAAUAUUUAUGGGAACAAAGGAGAAAAAAAGAAAAGGAUGAGCAUGUAUGAAUUAUGCUUUUCUUUUUGAAUUGUAUCCUAUGAUACGCAAACUAAAGAUAUGGUUUUCCCCAUCUAACCUAUAUGCUAUUGUUCGUGUAUAUUGACAACUGGAGUUAGAUUCAAAAGUUCACUAGCAUUAAAGAUACCAUUCAUUUCAAGGAAACAUAUAUUUACACAACUGAAAUUACAAUUUCAUUUAAAGGAAACUACAACUCAAGCUGGCCCAUUUCCAAUCUUAUCUCCUUUAGUUACGUGCUCUUUCUUUGUGUACAGUCACAUUCAUGGAAAUCUCUGUGUCUUGUUCAUCAGUUUACCGACAUCGAGCUUCGAACAUGCAAGACAAAACUUGAGUACUAGUAACAGAUGUUGAUUCAUCACUCGUUUCCUCCUCACUAACCUACUCCAAAAAAUCACAUUUCACGCUGCACGUAUUGAAUAGUCUACCUUUGUUCUUAGUGUUCUUCUCCACCUCAAUGCACUUCAGAAAAGCAUGUUUACACCAUGGGCAGGGGCGUUUAUUCAAGCAUUCCGCAAAAGAAUGCACUUUUAGUUUACAACUAUGACAGACUCCAUGAUUCUUUCCUCUCAUUGUAAGCUAGGAAUCAAAGACCAAACAAGAUAAUGAGCACAAGAUAUAUAUAAACAAAUGACAAGCCUCACGAUACAAGCAAAGGACUCAUGUACCAUUCUUCUGAAUUCAAAGCAAAAGUCAUAAAAAAAACCUAAACUUGAUUGAUGAAUACUUUUAUUACUUGUGAGUUUCACAAAAUGUGUGUAUAAAAUUUGAUUUUAUCGACAAUAAACUGUUAAUGAAUAUCAACCAAAAAUAGGCUCAAUCUCUCAGCCCAGAUUCAGUAACUAUGCUUCCAAGCUUGGCAUUUCUAAGGUAAAUAUCAAUUCUACAUUGAUUUAUUCCAUCCUACUUUGCUUUUAACAUAGUUUGAACACAAUAUUAAGGGUUUGCACCUAUCUUGUAGCUAACAUUGGUUGGCAUGCAAGCAGCAUAUAAAACAAUUCACCUUAAAAACAAUUCAUACCAACAGCAUAUAAAACAAUUCCCGAACUAAUUCUCUCCAAACAUGUUUCAUUUGUUUUUUUUUUUCACACUACUAAUUUUAAAUUUUCACCAAUAUAUUACAAUUCACUUUAAAAACUUAUUUAUUAUC
rnacentral:lncRNA from 1 species